rnacentral:lncRNA from 1 species
UUGGCUAAGUAAGGGAAAGGCUUAAGAACUGACAUUACUCUCUGAGAGAAGGGAUAACUAUCAAGUGCACUUUUAUUUGCUGUGAAAUAAAUUAGACACACCAAGCAGUAGCAUUUACAGAGAAUUCUGCCUGGUCCUGCAACAGCUAUGAAACCCAAGACAACUGGAAAAGCAAAAUCUGCUUAGUGUGUGUUGAAGGGACUGCUCCAAGCUGCUGUCUCUGAUGGGUCAGCCUUUCCCUGCCACAAGCUGUGCCAAGAGCUGACAGUGCACUGUGAAGGUUGGUGUGGCUGAGGAGCUUUAUCUACAGCUGUGAAUACAACCUAGCUGACUGAAGUAACAGCAGUGACGUCCGAAGGCUUGUGUUUCAUCCUCCCAGAAGAGGUGCUUUGGUGAUCAGGAGCUUGCCAACAGGCUGUCUUGCUCUGAAGGGGGCUCCUCACCACACAAUGGGACAUGUGACUAGGCAGAAAGCCUGGGGAGAAAUCUCACUCUUGGAUUAAAGGGAAAAGCGAUUUUCACAGUUUCCAGGAAUUAAUGGUGAAUGGUAAGAUCAGGGACUCCUCCAUGGAGCUGCAGGAAGGCGCUUGAGGCUCGGAGCAGAAGCACUGGCGUGUUUGGGCUGACAUCUAGUGUCGGCGCCUUUCCUCCCAGCGCGUCUGCGGCGGCCUGAAAGGAAGAACGAAGAGGACUUUCCUUGGGAUUAGUACUUUUAAUCUGGUCAGAUGCCUGAGCCAUAAACCCGCGAAUAUUUUUUCUCCCUUAAAGACCGAAUUAAAUAAUCAUAGAACACUCAAAAGUGGAAAUAAAUAUUGCUAAGGAAACUUCUCUGCCCUAGAU